CCUACGCGUGGCAGCAGUGGGGAAUAUUGCACAAUGGGGGAAACCCUGAUGCAGCGACGCCGCGUGAGUGAAGAAGUAUUUCGGUAUGUAAAGCUCUAUCAGCAGGGAAGAAAAUGACGGUACCUGAUUAAGAAGCCCCGGAUAACUACGUGCCAGCAGCCGUGGUAAUAAGGAGGGAGCAAGCGUUAUCCGGAUUUACUGGGGGUAAAGGGAGCGUAGACGGCAGCACAAGUCUGGAGUGAAAUGCCGGGGGUUAACCCGGGAACUGCUUUGGAAACUGUGCAGCUAGAGUGCAGGAGGGGUAAGUGGAAUUCUUAGUGUAGCGGUGAAAUGCGUAGAUAUUAGGAGGAACACCAGUGGCGAAGGC
rnacentral:rRNA from 1 species